UGGGGAAUAUUGGACAAUGGGCGAAAGCCUGAUCCAGCCAUGCCGCGUGUGUGAAGAAGGUCUUCGGAUUGUAAAGCACUUUAAGUUGGGAGGAAGGGCAGUAAGUUAAUACCUUGCUGUUUUGACGUUACCAACAGAAUAAGCACCGGCUAACUUCGUGCCAGCAGCCGCGGUAAUACGAAGGGUGCAAGCGUUAAUCGGAAUUACUGGGCGUAAAGCGCGCGUAGGUGGUUCAGCAAGUUGGAUGUGAAAUCCCCGGGCUCAACCUGGGAACUGCAUCCAAAACUACUGAGCUAGAGUACGGUAGAGGGUGGUGGAAUUUCCUGUGUAGCGGUGAAAUGCGUAGAUAUAGGAAGGAACACCAGUGGCGAAGGCGACCACCUGGACUGAUACUGACACUGAGGUGCGAAAGCGUGGGGAGCAAACAGGAUUAGAUACUCUGGUAGUCCACGCCGUAAACGAUGUCGACUAGCCGUUGGGAUCCUUGAGAUCUUAGUGGCGCAGCUAACGCGAUAAGUCGACCGCCUGGGGAGUACGGCCGCAAGGUUA
rnacentral:rRNA from 1 species